CAUAUGUCUCAUCACUAUUUGGUGGCACAUACGGAUGAUCGUCUCCGCCAACCGUGAAUAUAAUAAGGUCGGUGGGACUUUCGUCCGUUUGGGACACCUUGGAUACAUCUUGAGAAAUAC
rnacentral:precursor_RNA from 12 species